rnacentral:rRNA from 1 species
GAUGAACGCUGGCGGCGUGCCUAACACAUGCAAGUCGAGCGAGGGUUUGCUCAGUAUUGAGUAUUCUAAAACUAGAAUGUUCAAUUCUGAGCAAAACCAAGCGGCGGACGGGUGAGUAACGCGUGGGUAACCUGCCCUAUACACAUGGAUAACAUACUGAAAAGUUUACUAAUACAUGAUAAUAUAUAUUUGCGGCAUCGCAGAUAUAUCAAAGUGUUAGCGGUAUAGGAUGGACCCGCGUCUGAUUAGCUAGUUGGUGAGAUAACUGCCCACCAAGGCGACGAUCAGUAGCCGACCUGAGAGGGUGAUCGGCCACAUUGGAACUGAGACACGGUCCAAACUCCUACGGGAGGCAGCAGUGGGGAAUAUUGCACAAUGGGCGAAAGCCUGAUGCAGCAACGCCGCGUGAAACGAUGAAGGUCUUUCGGAUUCGUAAAG